CCUACGGGCGGCAGCAGUGAGGAAUAUUGGUCAAUGGGCUUACGCCUGAACCAGCCAAGUCGCGUGAGGGAAGACUGCCCUAUGGGUUGUAAACCUCUUUUGUCAGGGAGCAACGCCGGCUACGUGUAGCCGGACUGAGCGUACCUGAAGAAAAAGCAUCGGCUAACUCCGUGCCAGCAGCCGCGGUAAUACGGAGGAUGCGAGCGUUCUCCGGAGUUAUUGGGUUUAAAGGGUGCGUAGUGGGAAUGCCCAGUCAGCGGUAAAAUGGCGGGGCGCCACCUCGCUCCGCCGUUGAAACUGGGGUUCUGGAGUGGGCGAGAAGUAUGCGGAAUGCGUGGUGUAGCGGUGAAAUGCAUAGAUAUCACGCAGAACUCCGAUGGCGAAGGCAGCAUACCGGCGCCCAACUGACGCUGAAGCACGAAAGCGUGGGUAUCGAACAGGAUUAGAUACCCCUGUAGUC
rnacentral:rRNA from 1 species